AUGUAUAAGCUUAUUACAUUCUCCCCAUCUUUUUCUCCCUUGUUCUUUUUGAUGAUAUAAAAAUUACUGCAAACACUGCACAAAAAUCUCUCCUCCGUCAUCUUUUCUUUUGCAUUGAAAACAGUUCAUGGAAGAGAAAACAGUGGCUCUCUCUCCCGACUCUGCUGCUAAUGCUAAUCACCAAACCCAAAACAAGUCAUCAAUGGAUCCACCGGAAGUUCAAGCUAAUGUUUUAGGGUCCGGGGAAGGGUCAGGUUGGACUGCAACCAGUAAAGAAA